rnacentral:rRNA from 2 species
AGGUGCGAUCAUACCAGCACUAAUGCACCGGAUCCCAUCAGAACUUUGCAGUUAAGCGUGCUUGGGCGAGAGUAGUACUAGGAUGGGUGACCUCUUGGGAAGUCCUCGUGUUGCACCUC